UUACCCUGAUGAGUGAGAGGGAAGCCGCGGAUGCAUUCAGACACCUAUGGCACUGCAGACUCCACGCACUCAGCAUUUUGUGUUUAGUGUCUUGUGUUUUUGAGAGCAGACAAAUAUUAUGAUGUCCUCGAUACCUCGAAACACCACGACCACCUCUUGUUCACCACCACAGCCCCUCUUGUAACCAAAAAUUUGCAAAAGGGGAGUUUGGAGUAUGCUGUGCAGAAGACAGCUGAAACUGAGUUGAGUUUUCAAACAUUCACCACCUUUAUCUCAUAUAAGCA